rnacentral:rRNA from 1 species
UGGGGAAUAUUGCACAAUGGGCGCAAGCCUGAUGCAGCCAUGCCGCGUGUAUGAAGAAGGCCUUCGGGUUGUAAAGUACUUUCAGUCGGGAGGAAGGUGGUAAGGUUAAUAACCUUAUCAAUUGACGUUACCGACAGAAGAAGCACCGGCUAACUCCGUGCCAGCAGCCGCGGUAAUACGGAGGGUGCAAGCGUUAAUCGGAAUUACUGGGCGUAAAGCGCACGCAGGCGGUUGAUUGAGUCAGAUGUGAAAUCCCCGGGCUUAACCCGGGAAUUGCAUCUGAUACUGGUCAGCUAGAGUCUUGUAGAGGGGGGUAGAAUUCCAUGUGUAGCGGUGAAAUGCGUAGAGAUGUGGAGGAAUACCGGUGGCGAAGGCGUCCCCCUGGACAAAGACUGACGCUCAGGUGCGAAAGCGUGGGGAGCAAACAGG